AGUCCAUGGUGGGGACACAGCCGCAAUAACUCCUUGAAUUGGUUCCAGGAUUCAUAUAAGAAUUCUCCUUCUCUUUGAGCAAAGCUUGUAAUAUGGUUUCUGAGUUA